GCAGUUAAAAAGCUCGUAGUUGGACUUUGGGACGGGUCGGUCGGUCCGCCUCGCGGUGUGCACCGGUCGUCCCAUCCCUUCUGUCGGCGAUGCGUGCCUGGCCUUAACUGGCCGGGUCGUGCCUCCGGCGCUGUUACUUUGAAGAAAUUAGAGUGCUCAAAGCAAGCCCACGCUCUGGAUACAUUAGCAUGGGAUAACAUCACAGGAUUUCGGUCCUAUUGUGUUGGCCUUCGGGAUCGGAGUAAUGAUUAAGAGGGACAGUCGGGGGCAUUCGUAUUUCAUAGUCAGAGGUGAAAUUCUUGGAUUUAUGAAAGACGAACCACUGCGAAAGCAUUUGCCAAGGAUGUUUUCAUUAAUCAAG
rnacentral:rRNA from 12 species